rnacentral:rRNA from 1 species
UUUUUGGUGAGAGUAAAAAGUAGGGUCUGCCCAGUGAGUAAUUUUAACGGCCGCAAUAUUUGUGCGAAGGUAGCAUAAUCAUUUGUCUUUUAAUUGAUGACUGGAAUGAAUGGCUGGACGGGGAUAAGCUGUCUUAUGUAUAUAUAUUUGAAAUUUACUUUUAAGUAAAAAGGCUUAAAUAUUUUAGAGGGACGAGAAGACCCUAUUGAGUUUAAUAGAAUUUAUUUAAAUUUUUCUUAAAUUUUUAUGUAAUCUAUUUAGUUGGGGAGAUUUGAUAUUAUUAACUAUAUAAGAAUUAAUAGACUUUAAGUUUUUAGGAUCCAUAUUUUAUGAGUGUUAAGGUAAAUUACCUUAGGGAUAACAGCGUAAUAUUUUUUUAGAGUUCAAAUCGAUUAAAAUGAUUACGACCUCGAUGUUGGAUUAAGGAACCUAAUUUGGAGAAGAUUUUAAUUUAGGUAGUCU